rnacentral:lncRNA from 1 species
UUUUGCGAAACGACGUAGUCGUUGUCACUUUGGUGUAGCUUUGGGAUCUACAUUCAAUGAGUGCUCGAUCAACUCCCUGGGCACCCUCAGAAUAUCUGAUGGUUUCCAUGCGAAGAUGUCUUGGUUGGCCUGGAAAAAGCUAACAAGUGCGUCUUCCUAUUUGUUGUCCAGCCUUGAGCCAAUAAGGGCUGUCUUGGAGCUAUCGCCCGUGCCAAGGUCAAUG